AGAGAGAGAGAGAGAGAGAGAGAGACUGACAGACGGAGAGAGAGCAAGAUUUAUCAUUUGCAAAAUGGGAAACUGUGCAGUUGUUUUUGGCUUUUGGUUUGGCAAGGUUUUUCGCUUGCACAUCAUUACAGAAAUGACAGAAUAGAUGACAUGGCAUCCUUUUAUUCACAGUAGCAAUAUACUUAGUUAACGUGCACAAUAAUUUCUUCACUAUGGUUUCUUUAUUUUUUCUGUUUAUCUUCAUCGAGUACAAAACUGCUGAAGGCUUGGUUAACCCUGCUCCUAUAGUAUUCGGGGAUAUAGGGCAAAAUGUGACCAUCCACAGCCGUAUCAAAGAAAUAUCGAACUAUUACACGCGCAUUAGCUGGUACCGUCUGAGACCGAGUGGAAAGGUAGAGCGCCUCGCUUACUUCAGCUCAUACACCACGAAGAGGGGCCGUUACAGCGGAGAGCUUCCCAAAGGCUCUGAUACUGCGUAUCUAAACUUCUCGAGCGCCACAAUCGCCGACUCCGGACGCUACUUCUCCGUGGCGGGCACUGCUCUAAACUUAACACCUGGCUCCUACUCAGUUUUAGCCAUAACAGAUCCCAAGAGCCUCCCUGUAAUGCGCGUGUUCCUCAAUCGCACAGGGGCCGUUGUUUGUGAAUUGAAAGGUGGGGGUCCAACCUGGAGUGAUCCACAGUGGGAAACAGAUGAUGCCAAAGACGGGCUGACGUUGCAGGCUGAAACUUUUAUAGACGCGCAGGACGCAUUCAUACGGUCCUCCAUCCUCUCUUUGAAAGACGGGAUCCGUGCUUUGAACUGUGUAUGUAGGCACAUCACUGGAGUCAUUAUUCGAACUCGGGUCAUGCAAGAUAGCAAGGAUCAGUGCCGGCUGCUGCUGUACCUAUCUCCCCUGGCUGUGGUGCUGCUGCUGGUGACUGUGACAGCCAGUGGGCUGUGGGCCUGGAGACGGAGGAAGCAGAGCCCUAUAGCACAGGGAAUGGACAGCACAUACGGGAUCUGAUCUGGAUUUGUAACUCAGGGGUUGUAGGUUUCAUUCCCCAAUGAGACUCUACCACUGUACUUUGGCACAAUGUGCCUGCACUGUUUCAGUACACAUCCAGCUGUAAAAAUGGAUUGAGUGUUCAAAGAAAGUAAUUUGCUCUGACAAGAGCAUCUGUUGAAUGUCUAAAAUCCAAUAGGACUUGAAGGAGCAUUUCUUUAUUUUCUUUACUUUGUAGACGUCACAGCAGUAUUUGCAGAUUAAAAACAUUUUUGGCCCAUUUGCGGCUCUCUACACUUGUGCUUGCUUAGAGGAUGAUGCUGCGCAGUUUCGUUACUUUGAGUGAUUCGAUUUGAGUAGUUUUAUCAUGCCUUAAUUUAAGUUAAAGGUUUAUGUUGUACAAUUGUAUUGUAAGUUGUGUGUUUUGACAAACUUAUUGCAAUCGAAUGAAAUAAAAAAAUCUUGACAAGAGCAAAUGACAAUGUUUAACCAAAAUUUUUUCAAACUGUUUCUUUUUUCUAUUUCUCAGAAAUACUGUGGUCAUGACUGUGGUGCUAUGUCAGACCAUGGAAACAUUUGUAAUUAUAGCCUUGCAGCAAGAAAUAGCUAUGUACACAGGCAACAACACUAUCAGGCAGUCAAGCAAGGGAAGUGGUCCACCACCUUCGCAAAAUAGCUCAAACCACAGGUGAUGCAUUGCAAUGUGACUGUACAAUUUCAGUAAGCUUCUUCAUCAAGGCCUAUAAUGUCAUUUUUUAGAUGAGCUUAGACUGGCCUAUAUUAAAUUCAGGUUGCAAUACAAAGUUAAAUAUCUUUUGCUUUUAGAUUAACAUUUAUAAAACACAGUUCUCAGUGGAGCGUCCUGUCAUUUGAAAGGACAUCAGGACUGGCAGGAGUGUGCUGGUCAUGUUGAAUGCAGGUACACAAAUGCAUUAUGUAAAAAGUUAUUAGCUCAUUUUGCAUGAGCACCAUAAGGAAACUGUGUAUCUCAAGAAAUAACAACAAAAAACAGGGCACACGAGUGACUCCCAGCUGAGGCAAAUUUGAGGAGAAACCAAUUCCAUUUUUGUUGACAAAAUGUAUAUUUUUUAGUAAAAUUUGACAACGAUACAUUGACCAUGCUGGAAUGUGUAGCUGUGCACAAACUUAAUUUAAAAGGCUGGUGGCAUAAUUGCAGACAUAAUCUCCAUAAUCAUCACAAUGUGAUUGUUUCAUGCCACAAACUUUGAUUAUGAACCCAAAACUUACAAUGGCUAUUGGUUGCCUUUUGACCAGGGUACAAUUUUGGUAUGUCCUAAAAGGACACAAGAGAAGAGUUGGUCUGGGUUUGCGUAGUAUAUCAUGAGGAAUAAGGCUUUUCAUAAAUUCAGUAAUAAAAUACACAAUAAUAAUAAUAAUAAUAAUAAUAAUAAUAAUAAUAAUAAUGUGAUGGCUGCCUUGCUCCACUUGCCUGGUUUUGUCAGGUUCUCUUGAGUUCCUGAACAGGAAGCUGGUGGGCGAGGUUGGGAAGAGUUCAAUUGAGGCACACCUGUGCUUAGUGCCCUAUUUAACUCUCUUUCACCCAUUCUGGGGCUGGCUUGUCUGUUUGCUUUCCCUCUCUCUCAGUAUGUUGGUACACUUGAGUUGUCUCAUCUUACAACAUUUGUCAUGAUACUUUUCACUGAUCCCUGCACACAAGCAUACACAAUGAAUAGCCAAUACACUUCCACACCUCAUGUUUUUAUGAUUUAUCAUGAUUUAUCACUACCAUAAAAAUGCCUUUGGUUGGCUGACCGUAUAGCAGCUAAAAGAAUGCUUGCACAGAGGUGGGAGCCACCACUAUGUCCUAGGGCCUCAUUUAUAAAAAUGUUCUUAGAUUUAUACUUGAACUUAGUCUUAAGAUCAUUUCCAACGGUUUCAUAAAAGAUACUGAGCAUAACACCUUGCUUACCCAGGUUCUAAGAAGCCCAUUUGUAACUUACUUACCAGUGAUCUAUAAAUCUCAAAUUAACUUAAAAUUGACGGCACCUGAACGUGCCUUACAAUCAGCAUUUUCGCCUUGUAUAAUGCUAGCACAAAUGAGGGUUUAGUCAGGAAUAACAAUGGGCCAAAAUAGAAAAGCAAUCUUUUUGGAAGACGCUAUCACGGCGAUGGUAGAGGAGAUUGAAGACAGACAGCACGUAUUAUUUGGUGGAUUAAAUAGUGGGUUGACAAACAAAGCCAAACAGGUAGCUUGGGAGUGUGUCGCCACUGCAACGAAUGAGGUGGGGCAGCAAGACACAACUGUGGCUGAUCUGAAAAAGAAAUGGUCUGACCAUAAACUGCAAGGGGGAAAAAAAUAGCCAUACAUAACCAGCAGGAAAAUAACUUACGUCAAGUCUAGACUUUGCGUAGACAUAAGAUCAUUUCCACUUCAAAGUAAGGUUUGAUUUUUACUUGGUUUUCUGCGCAAGUCAUACUUAAGAUCAAAAUUGAUCGUAAGUCCGUUUUAUAAAUGAGGCCCCAGGUCUCAUUGGGUGAAUAGCUUCCUUGAUAUUAUUUAUAUGGAAACAUAAAUAGCUCAGAUACAUAGAGCUAGAGAAAUUUGAUGUGUGGUACUCAGCAGCUGUUAGUGUUAAUUAGUCCCCAUUGUGAUUUCAAGUAACUGAUUUAAACUAGUUUUUUUUUCUUGUUUCAUCUCUCUUUUUUAAUGAACUUCCAAGCCAGGUUGUGACAAUAACAAUUAUUAUACUACUACUACUACCAAUAAUAAUAAUAAUAAUAAUAAUAAUAAUAAUAAUAAUAAUAAUGUUGAUGAAAGAAAGAAAAAAUGCAAAGCUAAGACAGUAAAUCUACAAUUUUUUAUUUGAUAACACAUUGCGUUAUUAGCAUAAUGAUAAAUUGAAACCGUGAGAAAAUGACUCAGUGUUUUACAUUAGAGCCGUUUUUGUUUUUUUUUUGCAUGCAAGCCUGCAUGCAUGGAGUUGUGCUUGUCCUUAAAGGCCAAACAAGUAAAUAACAAGUGGUUUCAGCGUGGUUGGAAUUUUGGUGGGCUUUUGUUUCUUAAAAGCAGUCGGCAGAUCUAAAAACCACGCAGCCUCGAUGUUGUUUGUGCGCAAACAGUUAACGUCGGAGAUGGUUGAGACACAGCCUUGGACGGCCUACUUCUCUUUCAAACAGUUUAGUUGCGGUUAUUUCUGCGGGUUUUUUCAGUUUCGAUCGUUCGAAAUGGCCGAGAAACGGUUGUGUGUGUGGCGAAAGUGUGUUCCAUUAACGGAAACUCGCCCUUUGGUUUUUAGGUGAGAAGGCGAGCCUGAACUUGACACGCAUAUCUGUAAGCAGUCAGUCUUAUCUGGCAGACGAAACCGGACUGAUACACUUGCACCAUCGGGUUCUGCGGACAUGCCACAGGUUCUCCAUUUCAUACUCUUCGCUCUGUCCUGCACCGGUUCCGUCACUUGCUCGAUCGUGUUCGCCAGAGCGGGUGAGGAUGCCACACUCAGUUGCCAGUGUUCCAAGAACCAUGGCUGUUACAAAGAGCUUGUCCGCUGGGUUCGAAUGAAUUCGAAUGAGACGCUGCAAAUUAUCGAUACUAAAUGUGAGAAAUCGCCGUGCCGAUUCACCAGCAAAAGAACAGACGAUAUCUGGGUUGCCCUGACGAUUUUACAGGUGGAAUCAGGGGAUUCUGGGCGGUAUUACUGUGGAGAGCACCUCAGUAGCUACCUCCAGUUUACCGAUAAUGGGACCGUUUUAACGGUCGGAGAUGUCUGGACAAACAGCAGUGAAUUGCAUUUGCUGAAUGAAUGGACAGGUGAGGGUGGAAGCCCAGAGCUGGAUUGGAGUGAAGCUCAAACAUCAAACAGUAGUCAAGAGUUUAUGUCUAAAUGGAGGUAUGAGACUAAAGCGAGUGACUUCCUGGAUGUACGGCACACUGAGUUGCGCUGUGUAGUGACCAGACUCAGUGCCCCCUGGGUAAAUAUCUACUGGCGGUCGACCCGCGAAUCAUGGGAAAAAACUGGCCAGACCUCGUCUUUGUCAGCCACCGAGAGAGGGUACAGGGUAGAGAGCCAGUUGCGAAUUGGACUAAAAGUGAAGUCUGACUGGGAGGAUGAGUAUGAGUACGAGCACGAGUACGGGUACCUAGAUAAGAUGGUGGAAAUGGAUGAAGAAUUGUGGUGUGAGGUCCAGGUUGGGGUGAAUGUCUCUGUUCAGAGCCCAAAGUUUUCAUUCCGUCAGCAAACCCAUACUGACUCUGGUUCAGAACCAUCAGCGACAGAAGCGUCACCAACACUGAACUCUUGCAGAUGUGUCCUCGGACAUCACCUAUGCUCAUCUGGAUAUCAGGAAACAACCCAAGACAGAGAGACGACAAAGACAGAAGAGCAGACAGAAGAACAGUCAGGAAGACAGACUGGUGUACAGCGAAGUGAGAUACAAAUGUGAAGACAGAGUACUGCAUGGGUGAAAGACAGAGAUUUGGAUACCUACAGAAAGACCCGCUGAUACUGCAAGACCUGCUUGUGGGGAGAAGGAAAGAGAGGCAAACAAAGACAGGCAGUCAAUUAGGUUUCUGAAAAUUCUGUGUUUCUGUCUCUCAUUGUAAACUUGCAGGGUUUGUCAUUUCUACCCAACCUUCUAAUUUUGGGGAAACAUUAACAGAAAUAUUUGCCUCCAUAAGAACAGUGCUUCCUAAAUGUUUAUUACAUCACAUUUCGUUUGAAGAUCUUUUUUUCUGCAGCAAGACAAAAUAACACAAUUAAUGUGCUACUUGUCACAAUGUUUCAUAAUUUUUCUGUUGAUUGAUGAGAAAUGUGCAGACUGUGCUGGAUUUAUCUUAAGUGAACAGUUUGGGCAAUUACUUUGUUGCCUUAGCUCAUGUUUUAUAUGAUGAAUUAUUCAGUCAUUAAUUAUUAAAAAUGUUCAAUUUUUUCUCAGCUCAAAAUAAAUUCCUGUGAUGCUAA